rnacentral:rRNA from 1 species
CGGCUACCAUGCAGUUGAGCGCCCCGCAGGGGGAGCGGCAGACGGGUGAGUAACGCGUGGGAAUCUACCCAUCACUACGGAACAACUCCGGGAAACUGGAGCUAAUACCGUAUACGUCCUUCGGGAGAAAGAUUUAUCGGUGAUGGAUGAGCCCGCGUUGGAUUAGCUAGUUGGUGGGGUAAUGGCCUACCAAGGCGACGAUCCAUAGCUGGUCUGAGAGGAUGAUCAGCCACACUGGGACUGAGACACGGCCCAGACUCCUACGGGAGGCAGCAGUGGGGAAUAUUGGACAAUGGGCGCAAGCCUGAUCCAGCCAUGCCGCGUGAGUGAUGAAGGCCCUAGGGUUGUAAAGCUCUUUCAACGGUGAAGAUAAUGACGGUAACCGUAAAAAAAGCCCCGGCUAACUUCGUGCCAGCGCCGGGGAAAAAUAACG